rnacentral:rRNA from 1 species
CCUACGGGGGGCAGCAGUGGGGGAUAUUGCACAAUGGGGGGAACCCUGAUGCAGCGACGCCGCGUGAGGGAAGACGGUUUUCGGAUUGUAAACCUCUGUCUUUAGGGACGAAACAAAUGACGGUACCUAAAGAGGAAGCCACGGCUAACUACGUGCCAGCAGCCGCGGUAAUACGUAGGUGGCAAGCGUUGUCCGGAAUUACUGGGUGUAAAGGGAGCGUAGGCGGGAAUGCAAGUUGAAUGUUUAAACUAUGGGCUCAACCCAUAGUCGCGUUCAAAACUGCAUUUCUUGAGUGGAGUAGAGGCAGGCGGAAUUCCUAGUGUAGCGGUGAAAUGCGUAGAUAUUAGGAGGAACACCAGUGGCGAAGGCGGCCUGCUGGGCUCUAACUGACGCUGAGGCUCGAAAGCGUGGGUAGCAAACAGGAUUAGAUACCCUUGU